rnacentral:ncRNA from 1 species
AUAGAAUAAUGUAGGUAAGGGAAGUCGGCAUAUUUGAUCCGUAACCUCGGAAAAAGGAUUGGCUCUGAGGGCCGAGUCAGACACGCUGGGCAAAGAAACGUGUCUGCUCAGCCUGCGGCUGGCUAGUCGGCUAGCUGGACUGUGGCUACAACUGCUUAUACUGGGUUUACGCCGAUGCUUCCGUUGUGUGCUACGUGCGUGCUGCGUUAUCUGUGUGGCGUGGUCGGGCAAAUGGCCGCGUAGCAUGGUGCACAUGUGCGCGCGUGUGCUCAUGCACCUGGUUGUGGAGGUUGACUCGGUGGCGUGGUGUGCCCUUGGCAGGUGGGCUAACUGGCUGGAAGUAGGCAGGUCCAGUUAUGCCUGUCCCUUGGUUUGCACUGGUUGUUGCCGUGCCUAUUUUCGGGGUUUUGGCUACGAUGGUGGUUGCGUUGGCGGCGGUUGUGUAGCCUUGGGGCACUUGGCUGACGUCAAACGGCGGGAGUAACUAUGACUCUCUUAAGGGGUAGAGUCUGAAGCCCCCCCUCCCUCCUGCGCCCAGGGUGCUUUCCUGAGGCGUGGUUGGUACGCGAAGCCUUCUCGUGGCGCUCCUGGUGACGGGAAAGGUUCACUCUGUUGACCUCGAUGGCUCAGCCGCACACGUUUGAAUAUGCGGCUCCACUGGUCUGCCGGUGGCUAAACUAGCGAAAAAUAAUGGAGUCCUUUAUUGAAGCUGUUAACCCCCCCAUUGCGCCUCCGUGGUGGAACCCGCGACUAACGGCUUUCUUUGUCCACAUUGUGGACGAAUCUGCCGCUCUGCUGCUGGGCUGAAGCUUCAUGUGUGUCGAUGUCAGCCAGAUCCUGUGCUGCCCACGUCGGUGUCUGUGGCCAUGUCCCUGCCUACUCAUCCUUCUUCCGGGAACUUUCUCUGUGAUCAUUGUCCUCGAGGCUUCUCAUCUGUGUGCGGGCGCUCGCAACAUAUGAUGAGUGCACAUCCUGCUGCUAACUUCUCUGAACGCGGCCGUUUAGCUCCUUCUCGGACUAACUGGACUGCUCAGGCAGAUGCUCUCUUGCGUAGCUGUGCUUCAGCUGUGGUCAAGGCAGCUGGCCCACUUGCUCUUCGUGCUCUUGCUCGAAAGGUGGUGGUUAAGUUCCCCAUGCGCAUUGUUGUUGCUGUGUUCAGGCGACUUUCUAAGUUGCAUAAGGACGAGCCCCUGUUUGCCCUGUCAGGGCAACUCUCUCCUGCCGGUCCUACUUCUCCUAUACCCCUUACUGCUCCUAUCUGCUUAACGGACCAGGCGCAGUGCUGUCAAAACUCGCUCCUUCACUUGGCCGUCAAGCUCUUAACUGAAUCACCAGGUCAGGCCUUAGCAUCGGGUGACCUGCUAUCACUCGCUUUUGAUCUGCUCAUGGGAGAGGAGCUUCUUCCUGAAGCUGCUCCACGCCUUGAUGCGCACGCGCUCUGUCUUUCCACGACGUUGGCGACCCAGAAUGAGUCGACAACCAACUGCAGCUGCGCACCCCACCGCCAGGUGCAAACUAAGAUGGGGUCAGUAUGUUGAGGUGCAAGCUCGGCUUGUCAAAAAUCCCAAAGGCAGAGCUUUAUUUGUCCUUUCGGGCGAUUUGCAAAAAACCCCGUGCCCUGAAACACUGCUGCCUACUGGUACAUUAGACAUCUGGCGGUAGCUCACAGAGCGCCCUAGUGCACCUGAUCAGCGGCCUGUAUCACCUCCACAUGCUGUGGACCGGGAACUUCUUGAUCCUAUUUCUGCCGCUGACGUGACUCAAAACCUGUGGCUGAUGCACGGCGCGGCUGCAGGAAUUGAUGGCUUGUCAGCGAGGGAUCAGUUGCAGUGGUCACCUGGGACCAUAGCUGGAUAUCUUAACGUCAUUCAGCGACUGGUAACCUGCCCACGCAGAACUGCAUUUGUCGAACGACCCUGGUUCCGAUACUCGCAACUCCUAUUCUCCCUUCGGACUUCCGCCCAAUAGCGGUGUCCAAUUUCGAUACCUUGCUUACUUAACCGUUUUCUUUCUUAACGAUGGUCUCGCCUCUGCCAUACUACCCGCUACCAGUUUGGUUUCCAGGAGCAGGAUGGGACGGCAGAGGUGACGUCUCUCCUUCACGGAAUAUUACGGCAUGCGAUCUCUGCUCCUAGAUCCAUUGCUGUGGCUGUGCUCGAUGUGGCCAAAGCCUUUGAUUCCGUGAAUCAUGGUACGCUCCUGCGAGCUGCCGAGACGAAUGGAGCCCCACCUUUACUUCUUAAUCUUCUAACUUCAUUCUACUCCCCAAAGCAUACCUUUAAAUUGGGCACUGAGGUACGAUGCCAACGUGGCAUCCGCCAAUGUGACCCUCUCUGCCCUCUUCUCUUUAACUGCGCUUUUUCCGAAGCUAUUACCUAUUCUGACCGGCAGCUGGGCUUUGACCUGGCUGGGACAACGGUGGAUUCCAUCACGUACGCGGACGACCUCGUCCUGUUCGCCAAAUCACCUCUCCGCUUUCAACAGAGGUUAGAUGGUCUGGCCAAUGGCCUCUUCCUUGCUGGUAUGCUCCUCAACUCCGCCAAAUGUGCCUCUAUCUACGUUCGAGCGCUUGGUAAGGAGAAGAGUGCAUGCCUUUGCCCGUGCGAGGUCUCAAUCAGGGGGAGUUUAAUGCGCUCGCUCGGGCCCCUGAAAAGUUUCAAAUAGUUGGGAGUGCCCUUCUCAUACCAUGGGAAGGUUGCAGAAGGUCACCGUCCUAUCCUCGCUGGUAUGCUUGAUGAGCUUUCAAGAGCACCUUUGAAGGCGCAGCAGAGGGUCUCGCUACUGAAGCGUCACCUCCCGCCAAAAGUUUUUCUCGAGCUUAUUCAGGGUGCGGUUCACCACAUCCAACUUCAGGCGGGUGUCCUCUCCACAAAAUCCCGCAGGAACCGUAGGACAGGCUCUACUGAUAUCUUGUGUCGAGGGCAGUGCGGCCAACGUGACACACUCUUCCAUGUUCUGCAGUGCUGUAAACUAACGCACCAGGCCCGUGUCUGGAGGCAAAAUCAGGUUAUGAAAAUACAAGCGUCUAAGCUGGUAAAGCGUGGGUAUAAGAUGCUGUUGGAGCUCCACAUUCCCGAGGGCUGGAGUUUCCGAAAGCCUGAUCUUGUGUUGUGUGCUAAGGAUGGUCUCAGUGUUUUGGACAUUGUAGUCACUGGAGAGGAUCUUAUGGAGAUGGUUUACGCUGGGAAGGUCCACCACUACUCGACAGCGGAUGUCAAGGAGAAGCUGCGGAGGAUCCUUGACCACCCAGCUGAUUUCCCCAUUUCGCAUGAACCGGCUAUUUUAUUGUCACGUGGCGCUUUGCACCCGCGCAUUGAAGCCAGACUACGGCUUCUGGGUCGUUCGAAGCUUCACUUUUCGGACCUCUGCCUGAUGGUAGUGCGUGGCUCGCUGAAGGCCUAUGAUGUCUACAUGCGUGGAGGUAGUGGUAAUGUGAACAGGUGACUCUGCGGUGUUGACCCGCGGGCUGUUGAAAUGACGCAGUAGACUCAAACCGACUGGUAGCCUCGCUGUUUAACUGGCCCUGAGGUGUCCAGUUGCAGGGGACCGUUGCCUGAUGACGUCACUUGCUAAUGCGCCACGAUAGAAACUACUGUGUGUUGGCCCCUUUGUCCCAGCUUACUGACUGUUGUUUCUCAGCCUCCCGAUUGUACUUUCACAGAGUUCUCUUAAUGUUGCAAAGCUGGCUUAUCUGGGGCAUUUCUGCCCAACAUGUAUUUUCAUUUUGUGUAUAAUAAAUACUUCCUAGCCAAAUGCCUCGUCAUCUAAUUAGUGACGCGCCUGAAUGGAUUAACGAGAUUCCUACUGCCCCUAUCUACUAUCUAGCGAAACCACAGCCAAGGGAACGGGCUUGGCAGAAUCAGCGGGGAAAGAAGACCUNCUACAUGCGUGGAGGUGGUGGUAAUGUGAACAGGUGACUCUGCGAUGUUGACCCAAGGGUUGUUGAAAUGACGCAGUAGACUCAAACCGACUGGUAGCCUCGCUGUUUAACUGGCCCUGAGGUGUCCAGUUGCAGGGGACCGUUGCCUGAGAACGUCACUGGCAAAUGCGCCACGAUAGAAACUACUGUGUGUUGGCCCCUUUGUCCCAGCUUACUGACUGUUGUUUCUCAGCCUCCCGAUUGUACUUUCACAGAGUUCUCUUAAUGUUGCAAAGCUGGCUUAUCUGGGGCAUUUCUGCCCAACAUGUAUUUUCAUUUUGUGUAUAAUAAAUACUUCCUAGCCAAAUGCCUCGUCAUCUAAUUAGUGACGCGCCUGAAUGGAUUAACGAGAUUCCUACUGCCCCUAUCUACUAUCUAGCGAAACCACAGCCAAGGGAACGGGCUUGGCAGAAUCAGCGGGGAAAGAAGACCUUGCUGAGCUCGACUCUAGUCGGACUCUGUGAAGAGACAUGGCGGGUGUAGUAAUUAGUUGGAGGCGGGAAUCGCCCUUCGGGGUCUCUCGUUCAACACUGAAAGACCACUCCCAUCCUUGUUUCUUUACUUUUUAAAUGAAGCGGGAACCGUCCAUUAUUUUCCAUUUUGACAUUUAACACACUUAAGUGCAUUGUUCGCAUCCCGUGUGUGGCUGGCGUGCCGGCGUCUUGGUCGAAACUGUCUGGCCAGGGCUAGUGAUAUGCGUGUUUUUCCCUCAACUGCCUGUAGGUUGUUACCGCAAGUUGGUAGUCCAUAGCUGGUAGACGGUGGGCGUGUGUGUCCCAUCUUGUUGCUAUCAGGCAGGUUUGGCGAAGUGCGACCCGACCUGAAGACAAUGUCAGGCGGGAGUUUGACUGGGGCGAUGCAUCUGUCAAAUCGUAACGCAGGUGUCCCAAGGUGAGCUCAGCCAGGACAGAAACCUGGCGUAGAGUAAAAGGGCAAAAGCUUACUUGAUUUUGAUUUUCAGUACGAAUACAGACUGUGAAAGCGUGGCGUAUUGAUCCUUUUGAUCAACCGAUAUUCAGAUUUUGAAGCAAGUGGUGUCAGAUAAAGAACCACAGGGGUAACUGGCUUGUAGCGGCCAAGCGUUCAUAGCGACGUCGAUUUUUGAUCCACCGCUGUCGACUCUUCCUAUCAUUGUGCAGCAGAAUUCACCAAGCUUUGGAUUGUUCACCCACUAAUAGGGAACGUGAGCUUGGUUUAGACCAUCGUGAGAUGGGUUAAUUUUACCCUACUGAUGGUUGAACUGCGUAAACAAUGAAGUGCAAUCUGGUCGUUGCAAUGUUAAUUCUGUUUUUUACGAGAGGAACCACGGGUUCAGACAUUUGGUGCAUGUGCCUGGUCGAGCGGCCAAUGGUGCGAAGCUACCAUCUGAGGGAUUAAGACUGAACGCCUCUUAGUCUGAAUCCCGUCCAAAGAUGCGCAACGAUACAGUUUGGCCUGCCACGUGGUUGGGCAGAUAUAGUACUUUCCGGUCAGGUUUCAUUCGGAUGGGACCAUCGUGACCUACCGAACCUGGUCGGUCUGGUAUUGUUAUGCCAGACCAUGUGGGGGGAUCGACACGAUAUCCAAUUGUUUUGUGAGCGUGGUAGCACUAAAUUGUGUGUAGACGACUUAAUGUUUUGUCGGGGAGACUUGGGCAUUCGAGAGGCUAUCACACUGCGAGGUAUUGAGUCCUAUCCCUACCCGACGUAAUGAUUG